rnacentral:misc_RNA from 1 species
AUAAGAAGUCUAAUAACAGAGAAACACAUUUCAUACAUAUUUUCAUCAUUACCAGAAAAUAUCUUAAUAUUUAUCGUGUGUAACCUUAUUGUUAAAAUGUUUUCUUGGGCAGUAUUACUUAGAAGUACCACAAAAUGCCAUAAGUUAUUUGUUUCCAAUAAUAAGGCAUUUUUACAAAGAUGCGGUUUCAAAAGUGACGUGAUUCAAAUAGAUAAGAUAGUGAUAGCGAAUAGGGGAGAAAUCGCGUGCAGAAUAAUUCGGACAGCGCGCAAACUUGGAGUGAAAACCGUUGCAAUUUUUAGCGAUGCCGAUGAAAAUGCAAUGCACGUUGCUAUGGCAGAUGAGGCUUAUCGAAUUGGUCCACCUCCAGCAAAUCAAAGUUAUUUAUGCGGGGAUAAAGUAAUUGAAAUUGCAAAAAGAUCGGGCAGUCAAGCCAUUCAUCCAGGUUACGGUUUUCUUUCGGAAAAUGCCGAAUUUUCCGAGAUUUGUCACAAAGUGGGUGUAACUUUUAUUGGACCACCCGCAUCAGCUAUAAAGAAUAUGGGAAUAAAAAGUACCUCAAAGAUAAUAAUGUCAGACGCUGGAGUUCCAAUAAUUAAGGGCUAUCACGGUUCUGAUCAGUCUGUAAAAAAAUUAAAGGAAGAGGCUUCAAAAAUCGGAUAUCCCAUAAUGAUAAAAGCGGUUAGGGGAGGAGGUGGUAAAGGAAUGAGGAUAGCCCAUUCUGAGAAAGAUUUCGAAGAAGCACUUCAGUCGGCUCGUACCGAAUCUGAAAAAUCUUUCGGGGAUUCUGAUGUUUUACUAGAGAGGUUUGUGUCUGAACCUCGACAUGUCGAAGUUCAAAUAUUUGCGGACACUCACGGUAAUGCUGUCCAUUUGUUUGAACGCGACUGUUCUGUACAGAGAAGACAUCAGAAAAUAAUCGAAGAAGCUCCUGCGCCUGGCUUAGCAAACGAUUUACGAAAUAAAUUAGGCUCAGCCGCUGUAAGGGCUGCCAAGGCAGUGGGCUAUGUGGGGGCUGGUACUGUAGAAUUUAUUUUGGACCGAACAACGCACGACUUCUUUUUUAUGGAAAUGAAUACGAGGUUGCAAGUGGAACACCCUGUUACGGAAAUGAUAACAGGGUACGACCUGGUCGAAUGGCAAAUAAAAAUUGCAGCCGGCGAAAAGCUUCCUGUUGAACAGGAAAAUAUAAAUUUCAAAGGUCAUGCAUUCGAAGCCAGGAUUUACGCAGAAGACCCUAAAGGUGGAUUCCUACCAGGGGCAGGACCUUUGCUCUAUUUAUCAACACCUGAACCGGCAAAAGACGUACGGAUUGAAACCGGAGUACAAGAAGGGGAUGAAGUUUCGAUUUACUACGACCCCAUGAUUGCCAAACUGGUGGUUUGGGCAAAAGAACGAACAGUUGCCCUUAAUAAAUUAAGAACCAACCUACUAAAUUACAAUAUUUCAGGUGUAGAGACGAACAUAAACUUUCUUUUAACUCUUACAAAACAUCCAGAAUUUACGAAAGGAAAUGUUCACACCAAUUUUAUACAUGACCACAACAAAGAUCUUUUCCCGGAAGUUAAACCAUCUCAAAACCAAUUAAUUCAGGCAGCUUUAGCAGUUAUACUGUCGGAAAAACAUAAAGAAAAUACGGAAGCAAUUAGACAAAACAAUCAAUUCAAUCCAUUUAUUGUCGAGUCUGGUUUCAGGGUAAAUUAUUUACAUAAACGAACAAUUAAAUUAAUAUUUAAUAAUGAAGAGUACGAGUUAGUAAUUCAGUAUUUGGGAAAAAAUGAUUAUAAUGUUUCACUGGAUAAGGGUAAUAGCUGGAUAAAAGUUGGUGGAAGUCUCAUUAAAGAAAAUAAUGUUUCAACUCUUGAUUUCUUCAUUGAAGAUUACAGGGGCUCUACUAAAUUUUAUUUAAAUGACGAACAUAUAGCUCUCUUUGAUCUGGAAAUCUUCCAAUGCUUUUACUUGAAUCAACACGUACACUUUUAACAAGAAGAAAAAUCACCAUGAUGCAAAUAUCCGUCGAGAUGAGCCAUCAGGGAUGAUCGCAGAAGUGGAUAGAGGGGAUAUCCAUGAGCAAUAUUUUAGGAGGUAAAAUUCAAUUUAAUUUCGAAAACAAGCAAUUUUGGAUAGACGAAAAUGAAAGCGGUUCAGGUGAAUUAGAUAAUAGAGCCGUUG